rnacentral:misc_RNA from 1 species
GAUUUGCUUCUGGAAGGAUAAAUCUUGGGGAAAUUGAAGUUGUUAAAGUCUGCAGGUUUGAGUUGAUUUGGACCUGCAAUCUUUCACGGGACAAGAAGAAAGUUGUGUCAUUCUACAAACCCGUUGGAGUGCCUGAUGGAUUUUGUAGUCUUGGUCACCACUGCCAAUUUAACAAUAAGCCCUUUAGAGGUUUUCUCCUUGUGGCUAGGGAGGUUACUUUUUCUGAGACAGAAGGGACUAAUUUUGGCAGGCCUAUCAAUUCUCCUGCUCUUGAAAAGCCCCUUGAUUAUACAUUAAUCUGGAGUUCAUAUGAUGGAAGCGAG